UUGCUAAGACUGGAUAGGAAAUUAAAAGGCAUCUUUUAAUUUUUAAAAGACCUUUUUCGAAAGGUAUACUUAAAGAGGGGCUUGCGGCACAUUAGUUAGUUGGUAGGGUAAAAGCCUACCAAGACCAUGAUGUGUAGCUGGACUGAGAGGUUGAACAGCCACAUUGGGACUGAGACACGGCCCAAACUCCUACGGGAGGCAGCAGUAGGGAAUUUUCGGCAAUGGAGGAAACUCUGACCGAGCAACGCCGCGUGAACGAUGAAGUAUUUCGGUAUGUAAAGUUCUUUUAUUGAAGAAGAAAAAAUAGUGGAAAAACUAUCUUGACGAUAUUCAAUGAAUAAGCCCCGGCAAACUAUGUGCCAGCAGCCGCGGUAAUACAUAGGGGGCGAGCGUUAUCCGGAAUUAUUGGGCGUAAAGGGUGCGUAGGCGGUUUGACAAGUCUAUAGUUUAAUUUCAGUGCUUAACACUGUUCUGCUAUAGAAACUAUCAGACUAGAGUGAGAUAGAGGCAAGUGGAAUUCCAUGUGUAGCGGUAAAAUGCGUAAAUAUAUGGAGGAACACCAGAGGCGUAGGCGGCUUGCUGGGUCUUUACUGACGCUGAGGCACGAAAGCGUGGGGAGCAAACAGGAUUAGAUACCCUGGUAGUCCACGCCGUAAACGAUGAGUACUAAGUGUCGGGGAAACUCGGUACUGAAGUUAACACAUUAAGUACUCCGCCUGAGUAGUACGUACGCAAGUAUGAAACUUAAAGGAAUUGACGGGACUCCGCACAAGCGGUGGAUCAUGUUGUUUAAUUCGAAGAUACACGAAAAACCUUACCAGGUCUUGACAUACUCUGCAAAGCUAUAGCAAUAUAGUGGAGGUUAUCAGGGAUACAGGUGGUGCAUGGUUGUCGUCAGCUCGUGUCGUGAGAUGUUAGGUUAAGUCCUAAAACGAGCGCAACCCUUGUCACUAGUUGCCAGCAUGUUAUGAUGGGCACUUUAGUGAGACUGCCAAUGAAAAAUUGGAGGAAGGUGAGGAUCACGUCAAAUCAUCAUGCCCCUUAUGAUCUGGGCUACAAACGUGAUACAAUGGCUGUUACAAAGAGUAGCUAAAACGCGAGUUUAUAGCCAAUCUCAUAAAAGCAGUCUCAGUUCGGAUUGAAGUCUGCAACUCGACUUCAUGAAGUUGGAAUCGCUAGUAAUCGCGAAUCAGCAUGUCGCGGUGAAUACGUUCUCGGGGUUUGUACACACCGCCCGUCAAACCACGAAAGUUGGUAAUACUCGAAAACGGUAGCCUAACUUUUUCGGAAGAGGGAACCGUCUAAGGUAGGAUCGAUGAUUGGGGUUAAGUCGUAACAAG
rnacentral:rRNA from 1 species